ensembl:snRNA U6 U6 spliceosomal RNA
GUGCUCACUUUGACAGCACUUAUACUAAAACUGGAGCAAUACAGAAAUUAGCAUGGCCCCUGUGCAAGGAUGACAUGCACAUUCGUGAAGCGUUCUAUAUUUUU